UUUAGCAGACUUAGUAUUACGGUCAAGAUUAUUAUUAUCGGUAACAUGAAAAUAACGCCACAACUCUUCAAACCGAUUUCUUGACAUAAGAGCGGCAACUGUUAGAAAACUGCAGUCAACUUUUUGUUCCCAAUACAUUCUGUGUAUCGAUACACUGUUAUAUCCAGACAAUAAUAAUAUACCAAUAAAAUGUUAUAUAUCCAUAUAUAUUUUUAUAUAUAUUUUUGGAUUCCAGUUUUCUCGGUUUCUGAACGGAGUAAUUCAAACACCUCUUCAUCAUAAAAAAGUUCGAAAAACUGAAUGGGAUUUUGAAGGUUUUCUAAGUAAUUAAUUUUUUAAUUCACAUUGCCCUUGUCCAGUCUUUUCUGGAAUAUCUAAAACCCUCCACAUCCUUGUGACUACAACGCGUCUUCUUUUUGGCGGUGACUGUGUCACUGACGACGAGGAGCUGGGCUGUGGAGAUUGCGGCCAUGACGAUGUAUUGGGUCCCGACCCCUGGUGACCCGAAGUUCAGCUUCUGCUAGUAACUGAUGUCUUGACAAAUUUUAUUUAUGCUUACAAGCUUCGUCACUACUGUCUUCUUCGCUAUGUUGCCAAUUAUCAGGAGGUGUGAUGAAAGUAUCAGCUGAAAACACAUCGUCAUCUUCUAAAUGCGAGAUUAUUUAAUCGACUCUCAAUCUGAAAUAAAAUAAAAUCACAAUUUGGAGGCAAUAUUGUUAAAAUAUGAAUUUCAAUGUAUAAAAAUUGCAUGUGCGUAUGUUCCUACUGCUCAAAUAUAGGAACGGUACAUUAUCAUCACACUUAUACACACACUACACAAAUAACGACUUUUAUUUGUUAAAACUUAUUAUGGACACGAUAUAACAUGUGUACAAACUAUAAAUUCUCUAUAUACGUGUAUACUGUAAAACAUAAUUACUUACUUUUUUCUGUUCGCCAUAAUUUUCACUAAAACUUCCAAACGAAGUGAAAUGACAUUAAUUCAACUGACAGCUAGUAUUAUUAGUAAUAGCAACAAAAAAUAUUAAUUUAAAGAUGUGUUCAAAAAUUCCAAUAAAAAAUAAAAAAUUAACCGUUUUAAAAAUGGAACACUGGGAUAAUAAGAGAUAAACAUGUAUUUAAUUGAUUAUUUUUUCGACAACUCAUUUUAUCAUUUUUAAAUAAUUUUAUCGUUAAAGUCAUUACACCCAGUAAAAAGUUAUGAGGUAACACACAAAAAAAAUACAGUCUAAUUGAGAACCUUCUUUUUUAAAGUUAGUUAAAUAUAACAAAUAAUUAUAUGAUAAAUAAUAUUUGAAAUUUAACGCCUAAAUUUAAUAUUAUUAAAAAUUAUUUUUCAUUUUUAUGGCUUUUCUGAAAUAUAAAUUUAUAUGAGUUGAACUGUUAAUUUUGAAAGAAAUUAACAAGUUUGAAAAGAAAUAUGAAAAUGUGAAGCCAAGUUGUUUUUACUGCAAAGUUUGUAGUUUUGAUAUUCAUAACUAGUUUUUUAAUCUUUAGGGCCUGUUUCACCAUUUGUGGAUAACGCUAUUUGACGGAUGAUGAUAUCCACAGAUGUUUUUUUUAUGUAUAAUUCUUUUUUACCAUCGAAUUUCACUGUAUUUAUGAGAUACUAGCUGUGCCCGCGACCUCGUCCACGUGGAAUUUAACAAAAAAAUUAUUGUUCAGUUCGCAGAGCUAUAAAAUAAAUAAAUUUCUAAAAUAAAAUAAAUCUUAGUUACUCCUUAUUACACCAGGUUCAGCCGUUUCAGAGAUUAGCCGGAACAAACAAACAUACAGAGUGAUAGAUAAAAAUUGUAAAAAAUGUUAUUUUGCUAUAAUUACCGUGUGAACAUCCGUAUGAAUUUAGUUAAAAACGGUUAUUUUAAUAUUACAAACAGACACUGCAAUUUUAUUUAUUUGUAUAGAUUUCUAUUCGCAAAAAAUGAAUCUAAAAGUUGUAGUUUAUUAUUUGAGGUAAAACAAAUCCUGAUGACUUCUACCUCCUGCUGAUAAAAUUUAAUCGUAACUUAUUUGCAGGAUAAACUAUCCACAAGUGGUGAAACAGGCCCUUAGAAUAUUUAUAUUUUGUGUAAUAAAACAAGAAUGCAAUAAUUUUUUAAUUCGACCAACGAUGACUAUCGUAGUUGAUAAUGUUUAAUUCAAAUUGGAAUGUAUUUAGUAGAAUAUAAAAUUAUAAUAAAAAAAUAAAUAAAGUCAGCGAGUACUUUAUUUUUUUUUUUUUUUAUUAUAACCUGCCGAACUUCAUUUUUUUUUGUUGUUAAUAUGUAUUUUUUAACCUUUUUAAAAUAUAUUUGUGUAAUAACAUUUGAAGGAGCACAGCUAUUCAAUAACCUAAGAUUAUGUAAAGGUCGCAGACUCGAUCACUAUUUUCAAACGGAGACUUAAACUAAACAUCACAUCAAAUGACAUAGUUCGACUACGAAUAUUUUUUAUCGUUGGUUUUUUUUUCUUUUUUCUCCUUUUAACUUCUCUCAAGCGUUGGUUGCACGAUUCACAAAAUCACUGACCACGUCUGCCACCUACAAACUAGAAUCUAACUAAAUCUGUUACGUAAAUGUUGUUGUUUCUCAUGCAAAUACUGUAUGGUUAUAAAUGAGAAAAUAAAGAUCUUUAACUUUAAUACAAAACUUUGUCCUGCCAGUGAUAAAGAAAAUUGAGUUCGAUUGUUCAAUUGAGUGCAGUGGCAAUGUUAUGCGCGUUUAUAGAUUUCAGCGAUUCACUUUUAUUUAUAUAGAUUAAUUAUUUAUUUAACUACAAUGAACAAACAAGCAAUAUCUUAAGAUUUUAACGAAAUUAUUGAAAUUUGUAUUAAAAAUAAUUUUAGGGUUACCAUCUAAAAAGAUAAAAUAUAGAAUGAACUUUAAAUUUUUUUGAUGAAUUUAAAAUUAUAUUUAUAUCAAUCACAAUUUCAAUCAGCCUGUUAUAUCUUACUGCUGGCCAUAGGCUUUUUUCUCCAUGUAGAAAUAUUGAAGCUUAACACGUUUAACGCCAUGGGGGACACCAGCUGGGCCUCUUGUUUCGUCCAUGGAGCCAGUUUAAAAGUCCUUAUUUAUAAAAUGUAUAUGAUAAGUUUUUAUUGCAUUACCUUAUUCAUACUUAAAGAUCUUACUUAUUUUUCCUUACACAAUAUGACAUAUUCUUCUAAGUCAUAUUUUUUAAGUUGACUCUGGCUUCCGUUCAUGUGCUGUCCCCCGCGACAACAACGGAUAAAAUUGUACGUCGACUACACGGUGUCGUCCCCCAUGGCCCAAACAUAAAAACUAAAAAAAAAAAUUAGCCGGCGUUUAAUGUAUUCAUCCACCACGCUUCUCCACUUCGGGUUGGCGUUAUUGAGUUAUAUUCAAGCUUAAGUAAUAAUAUAUAAAGAUCUGUAUACGGUAAUAAUUAAAUAUCGUUUAUUGUAAUAACAAAUAAUACUAUGAAAAUGACUGUCUUUAUAAUUAUAUGCAGCGUAAAAAUUUAAUUUAGAAAUGUAAUAUCUUGUAUAUGUUAUCUUUGUUCUGACCUUUAAAAUUUUGUUACUAUUACUAAGGGCCUGUUUCACCGUAUCCAACAGAUAAAACUUUUUGAUAUAUUAUUCGCUUUUAAUAUCGAAUCUUAAUAGAAUUCUUCUGUGUGAUUCUUGAAAGUUGUGGUUGAUUAAUUGAGAAGUAACAGAUCCUAAGGGCCCAUUCUACCUGCUUCUGUAAAAGUUUAUUCGUAACUUAUCUGCAGGAUAUGAUACAUCUACAAUCAAAACAGGCUCUAAGAGCACAUAUUUAAAGCAUAAUUUUAUUUCAAAUGUGAUAUAUUUUGUUUCGUACUACAAUAAAUUUUACCAAUGAAAUUACCAUAGAUUGUAUUUAUUAUUUUGAGUAUAUCGGGAGAUAAUUUUCAAGAUCUAGUCAUUUCCACUUUUCCAAUAAAAAGACAAGGGAUGGGUUCAAAACUGUAAAAUUCAUAGCAUAUUAUGGCUCUCCCCGAUUAAAAAAAGGUAGAAAAUAAAUUAUAAAUUCAAAAAAUUGAAUUUUGGAUAUGACUGACUGAAAAUCACAUCCUGAUUUUUUUUUAAUUUAAGUUAGAGGCUAAAGCAAUAAUUGUACCUUAAAACGAGUCAUAUAAAUGAGUAUUUACUGUCCGAUGUUAUUCUUUAAUAAUUUAUUUGUUAUAUUAUAAUUUGAAGUAUUAUUUUUUUACCAAAAAAAGUUUGUUUUGCACAAAUAAUUGUGAUUACGUAUGGCACUGUGUUCGUGUGUCUGAGUGUUGAUGGUUUGUAUUAAUUUAUUUCAUUAAAUGUUAUUAUAGUAAUAAAGGGUUUUUUAAUUAUAUUUUCCUAAUAUUUUCUGAAGUUUAUUGAAUAAAAGUUAUGAUUUUUUUUAUAAGUGUUCGCACCGGAACAAAGGCUAUUGUAUUGGAAUCCGGUUUUUUUUUAAACUGCAUAAUGAUAUAACCGUAAAGAAGUUAGAGAAG
rnacentral:misc_RNA from 1 species